rnacentral:rRNA from 1 species
CCUACGGGUGGCAGCAGUGAGGAAUAUUGGUCAAUGGGCGCGAGCCUGAACCAGCCAAGUAGCGUGAAGGAUGAAUGCCCUACGGGUCGUAAACUUCUUUUAUAAAGGAAUAAAGUGAGGCACGUGUCCUUUUUUGUAUGUACUUUAUGAAUAAGGAUCGGCUAACUCCGUGCCAGCAGCCGCGGUAAUACGGAGGAUCCGAGCGUUAUCCGGAUUUAUUGGGUUUAAAGGGAGCGUAGAUGGGUUUUUAAGUCAGUGGUGAAAGUUUGCGGCUCAACCGUAAAAUUGCAAUUGAUACUGGGAGGCUUGAGUACAUUUGAGGCAGGCGGAAUUCGUGGUGUAGCGGUGAAAUGCUUAGAUAUCACGAAGAACCCCGAUUGCGAAGGCAGCCUGCUAAGC